AUUGAACGCUGGCGGCAGGCCUAACACAUGCAAGUCGAACGGUAACAGGAAGACGCUUGCUUCUUUGCUGACGAGUGGCGGACGGGUGAGUAAUGUCUGGGAAACUGCCUGAUGGAGGGGGAUAACUACUGGAAACGGUAGCUAAUACCGCAUAUCGUCGCAAGACCAAAGAGGGGGACCUUCGGGCCUCUUUCCAUCGGAUGUGCCCAGAUGGGAUUAGCUAGUAGGUGGGGUAACGGCUCACCUAGGCGACGAUCCCUAGCUGGUCUGAGAGGGUGACCAGCCACACUGGAACUGAGACACGGUCCAGACUCCUACGGGAGGCAGCAGUGGGGAAUAUUGCGCAAUGGGCGCAAGCCUGAUGCAGCCAUGCCGCGUGUAUGAAGAAGGCCUUCGGGUUGUAAAAUACUUUCAGCGGGGAGGAAGGGAGUAAAAUUAAUACCUUGGCUCAUUGACGUUACCCGCAGAAGAAGCACCGGCUAACUCCGUG
rnacentral:rRNA from 1 species